rnacentral:rRNA from 1 species
CGGGGUGGAGUAAUGUCUGGGAAACUGCCUGAUGGAGGGGGAUAACUGCUGGAACGGUAGCUAAUACCGCAUAACGUCGCAAGACCAAAGAGGGGGACCUUCGGGCCUCUUGCCAUCGGAUGUGCCCAGAUGGGAUUAGCUAGUAGGUGGGGUAACGGCUCACCUAGGCGACGAUCCCUAGCUGGUCUGAGAGGAUGACCAGCCACACUGGAACUGAGACACGGUCCAG